UACGGAGGGUGCAAGCGUUAUCCGGAUUUACUGGGUUUAAAGGGUGCGUAGGUGGGUCUGUAAGUCAGUGGUGAAAUCUUCGAGCUUAACUCGGAAACUGCCAUUGAUACUAUAGGUCUUGAAUUAUCUGGAGGUAAGCGGAAUAUGUCAUGUAGCGGUGAAAUGCUUAGAUAUGACAUAGAACACCAAUUGCGAAGGCAGCUUACUACGAUCGAUUGACACUGAGGCACGAAAGCGUGGGGAUCAAACAGG
rnacentral:rRNA from 1 species